UGGGUAACCUGCCUCAAAGAGGGGAAUAGCCUCCUGAAAGGGAGAUUAAUACCGCAUAAUAUGUUUAAGUCGCAUGACUUUAACAUCAAAGGAUUUUCUUAGGAAAUUCCACUUUGAGAUGGACCCGCGGCGCAUUAGCUAGUUGGUGAGGUAACGGCUCACCAAGGCAACGAUGCGUAGCCGACCUGAGAGGGUGAUCGGCCACAUUGGAACUGAGACACGGCCCAGACUCUACGGGAG
rnacentral:rRNA from 1 species